rnacentral:lncRNA from 1 species
CACUAAUGGAUUCUCAACUAGAUUAUAAUUAAGUCCUUUGCCUGGGAAAGGCCAGGUUUCUUAGGACUCUCAGUAUUUCUGGGUGGCUUUGGAGAUUUCAAGGGCUGAGGACAUUCAUGACAUACCUAUGGCAGAUACCCUGGGUUCCUCCAGCCUCCUUCACAAAAACCUGUUCCAUCCAGCUGUCCUCACUUUUCCAGGAGAGGCU